UACAGAGGUCUCAAGCGUUGUUCGGAUUCAUUGGGCGUAAAGGGUGCGUAGGUGGCGCCGUAAGUCAGGUGUGAAAUCCCGGGGCUCAACCCCGGAACUGCACUUGAUACUGCGGUGCUCGAGUACUGGAGAGGAGAUUGGAAUUUACGGUGUAGCAGUGAAAUGCGUAGAUAUCGUGAGGAAGACCAGUGGCGAAGGCGGAUCUCUGGACAGCUCCUGACGCUGAGGCGCGAAGGCUAGGGGAGCAAACGGG
rnacentral:rRNA from 1 species